rnacentral:ribozyme from 12 species
AAGCAAAAAAAAAAAAAAAAAAAAAAAAAAGGAUAACCUACUACAACUUUCUUUUCAUUGUGUGCAGUUGUAUCUAGUUUUUUAAUCGUUAUCAUCGUCGUUCAUCUAAUGUCU